rnacentral:rRNA from 1 species
AGAACUUUGAAGAGAGAGUUCAAGAGUACGUGAAACCGUUCAGGGGUAAACCUGAGAAACCCAAAAGAUCGAAUGGGGAGAUUCAGCGUCAGCGACUUUGGCUUCCGUGUGAACGCGAUGGCUGGGACCUCGGUUCUGCGUCACGCGUUUGCUGCGGUAUGUCCGGAAUCGCCGGCGUGCACUUCUCCUCUAGUAGGACGUCGCGACCCGUUGGGUGCUGGCCUACGGCCCGGUUUGUCGACUGUCGCGUCGCGCUCACGCGUGCUCGUGGCAGACAAUCGGUCGCCUGGCCGGCUGCCCGGCGGUAUAGAUCGCUAUAAAACGGUAUUGGGCCGCAUUAAGUGCGUUCUGGCUCGUCGGCAGGCUCGUCUCGCUCGGAUUUACGGACCUAGCGCCGUUGCCGGGUGCUUGGCGUGGCCGUUAGUCGACGAUGUCCUCGGACUGGCUCUUACAUUCGAACGGAUUUACCGGUCGGCGACGCUACUGCUUUGGGUACUUUCAGGACCCGUCUUG